UGCUGCAUACUUCCUGCAUGCUGGGCUCUGUAAAGAGGAAGGGAGAGGCCCCUGCUUGGAGAAGCUUUCCAUCCAACGGAUGUGGAUGCCGUCAGUGUCAAACGUGACUUCAGGAUCACAGAAGAGGCCGAACGUGCUAAAAGGUCACACUGGAAUGAAGCAUAUAAGCCGUUUACUUACUGGAAGCGUAUCAGAGACGCACCUCGCAAAAAUGACACCGUGAAAAUCGAGUUCGAACCGGGAAGGACUUAUUCGGUACUGGGGCCUGUGUUCACCAGGGCAGCCCCUCACGAGGCCCUGGUGCCCUCAUCAUCUCGAAGCUCCCUCCCAGCUUCAGCAUGCUAAGAGCCUAAAAGAAAUUGGAAACAAACCAGUUGCCCUCUGUCCAGGUGGAGGAGUCCCUCUCUGACCAGGCAAGAGGUGCCACCCAGGGCCCCUAGCCCUGCUGCAUGGGCAAAUUAGCUCUUGGAAGAGUAAGUGCUGUGACUGAUACAAAAACAUGACAGAAAUGCCUCCAA